rnacentral:rRNA from 1 species
AACGAACGCUGGCGGCGUGGAUAAGACAUGCAAGUCGAACGGGAUUUUUUUCUGUAGCAAUACAGGAAAGAGUCUAGUGGCGAACGGGUGCGUAACACGUGAGCAACCUGCCGUGAAGUGGGGGAUAGCUCGCCGAAAGGCGAAUUAAUACCGCAUGUGGCCAAGGAAGACAUCUUCCUGACGCCAAAGCCGGGGCAACCUGGCGCUUCUCGAGGGGCUCGCGGCCUAUCAGCUUGUUGGUGAGGUAACGGCUCACCAAGGCUAUGACGGGUAGCGGGUCUGAGAGGACGACCAGCCACACUGGAACAGAGACAGGGUCCAGACACCUACGGGUGGAAGCAGUCGAGAAUUUUUCACAAUGGGGGAAACCCUGAUGGAGCGACGCAGCGUGGAGGAUGAAGGUUUUCGGAUUUAAAACUCCUGUCAUUAGAAAAAAAGGCACACGGUUUAACUGGCGGUGUGUUGAUAGUAUCUGAAGAGGAAGAGACGGCUAACUCUGUGCCAGCAGCCGCGGUAA